rnacentral:rRNA from 1 species
GUGCAGCAGUCGCGAAACCUCCGCAAUACGCGAAAGCGUGACGGGGUCAUCCCGAGUGCCGUCCGCUGAGGAUGGCUUUUCCCCAGUGUAGACAGCUGGGGGAAUAAGGAGAGGGCAAGUCGGGUGUCAGCCGCCGCGGUAAUACCCGCUCUCCGAGUGGUGGGGACGCUUAUUGGGCCUAAAGCAUCCGUAGCUAGCUGGGCAAGUCCCCUGUUAAAUCCAGCGAUUUAAUCGUUGGACUGCGGGGGAUACUGUCCGGCUAGGGGGCGGGAGAGGCCGACGGUAUUUCCGGGGUAGGGGUGAAAUCCUAUAAUCCCGGGAGGACCACCAGUGGCGAAGGCUGUCGGCUAGAACGCGCCCGACGGUGAGGGAUGAAAGCUGGGGGAGCGAACCGGAUUAGAUACCCGGGUAGUCC